rnacentral:rRNA from 1 species
GCGCAGCAGUCGCGAAACCUUCGCAAUGCGGGAAACCGCGACGAGGGGACUCCCAGUGCCUACGCUCAGCGUAGGCUGUUCCCGAGCCUAGAAAGCUCGGGGAGUAAGGGCUGGGUAAGACGGGUGCCAGCCGCCGCGGUAAUACCCGCAGCCCGAGUGGUGGCCACUAUUAUUGGGCCUAAAGCGUCCGUAGCCGGCCCGGUAAAUGCCUGGGGUAAAUCGUGAGGCCUAACCUCACGAGUUCCGGGUAGACUGCCGGGGCUAGGGGACCGGAGGAGGGAGAGGGGUACUCCGAGGGGGUAGGGGUGAAAAUCCUGUAAAUCCCCUGGAGGACCACCGGGUGGCGAAGGCGCUCUCCUAGGACGGGUCCGACGGUAAGGGACGAAGGCCAGGGGAGCGAACCGGAUUAGAUACCCCUGUAGU